GAUGAACGCUGGCGGCGUGCCUAAUACAUGCAAGUCGAGCGAACGGACGAGAAGCUUGCUUCUCUGAUGUUAGCGGCGGACGGGUGAGUAACACGUGGAUAACCUACCUAUAAGACUGGGAUAACUUCGGGAAACCGGAGCUAAUACCGGAUGAUAUUUUGAACCGCAUGGUUCAAAAGUGAAAGACGGUCUUGCUGUCACUUAUAGAUGGAUCCGCGCUGCAUUAGCUAGUUGGUAAGGUAACGGCUUACCAAGGCAACGAUGCAUAGCCGACCUGAGAGGGUGAUCGGCCACACGGGAACUGGGACACGGUCCAGACUCCUACGGGAGGCAGCAGUAGGGAAUCUUCCGCAAUGGGCGAAAGCCUGACGGAGCAACGCCGCGUGAGUGAUGAAGGUCUUCGGAUCGUAAAACUCUGUUAUUAGGGAAGAACAUAUGUGUAAGUAACUGUGCACAUCUUGACGGUACCUAAUCAGAAAGCCACGGCUAACUACGUG
rnacentral:rRNA from 1 species